CGCGUAGGCGGUUUGAUAAGUUGGGUGUGAAAGCCCAGGGCUCAACCCUGGAACUGCACUCAAGACUGUCUUACUUGAAUUCGGUAGAGGUUGGUAGAAUUCCCAGUGUAGAGGUGAAAUUCGUAGAUAUUGGGAAGAAUACCCGUGGCGAAGGCGGCCAACUGGACCGACAUUGACGCUGAGGCGCGAAAGCGUGGGGAGCAAACAGGAUUAGAUACCCUGGUAGUCCACGCCGUAAACGAUGCAUGCUAGACGUUGGAAACCUCAGGUUUCUUGUGUCGCAGCUAACGCACUAAGCAUGCCGCCUGGGGAGUACCGGCCGCGAAGGUUGAA
rnacentral:rRNA from 1 species